UACGUAGGUGGCAAGCGUUGUCCGGAUUUACUGGGCGUAAAGAGCGCGCAGGCGGUCGUUCAAGUCGCGUGUGAAAGCCCCCGGCUCAACUGGGGAGGGUCACGCGAUACUGAUCGACUCGAAGGCAGGAGAGGGUAGUGGAAUUCCCGGUGUAGUGGUGAAAUGCGUAGAUAAUCGGGAGGAACACCAGUGGCGAAGGCGACUACCUGGCCUGUUCUUGACGCUGAGGCGCGAAAGCUAGGGGAGCAAACGGGG
rnacentral:rRNA from 1 species